rnacentral:rRNA from 1 species
GACGAACGCUGGCGGCGUGCUUAACACAUGCAAGUCGAACGGGGUCCAACCAGUGGCAACACUGGGGAAGAUCUAGUGGCGAACGGGUGAGUAACACGUGAGGAACCUGCCCCGAUCUCUGGGAUAACAGCGGGAAACCGCUGCUAAUACCGGAUGCCCUCCUCUGAUCGCAUGGUCGGAAGAGGAAAGGAGUCUGGAUCGGGAGGGUCGCGCGGCCUAUCAGCUUGUUGGCGGGGUAACGGCCCAACAAGGCUCCGACGGGUAGCUGGUCUGAAAGGACGACCAGUCAGACUGGGACUGAGACACGGGCCAGACUCCUACGGGAGGCAGCAGUGGGGAAUCUUGGGCAAUGGGCGAACGCCUGACGCAGCAACGCCGCGUGGGGGAUGAAGGCCCUCGGGUUGUAAACCCCUUUCAGCAGGAACGAAACUGACGGUACCUGCAGAAGAAGGUCCGGCCAACUACGUGCCAGCCGCCGCAGUAAAAC